rnacentral:rRNA from 1 species
GAUCCUGGCUCAGGAUGAACGCUGACGGCGUGCUUAACACAUGCAAGUCGAGCGAAGCACUUAGGAAAGAUUCUUCGGAUGAUUUCCUAUUUGACUGAGCGGCGGACGGGUGAGUAACGCGUGGGUAACCUGCCUCAUACAGGGGGGUAACAGUUAGAAAUGACUGCUAAUACCGCAUAAGACCACAGCACUGCAUGGUGCAGGGGUAAAAACUCCGGUGGUAUGAGAUGGACCCGCGU